AACGCUAGCUACAGGCUUAACACAUGCAAGUCGAGGGGCAGCAUAAAAGUAGCAAUACUUUGGUGGCGACCGGCGCACGGGUGAGUAACGCGUAUGCAACCUACCUAUCAGAGGGGGAUAACCCGGCGAAAGUCGGACUAAUACCGCAUAAAACAGGGGCACCGCGUGGUGAUAUUUGUUAAAGAUUAAUUGCUGAUAGAUGGGCAUGCGUUCCAUUAGGUAGUUGGUGAGGUAAUGGCUCACCAAGCCGACGAUGGAUAGGGGAACUGAGAGGUUGGUCCCCCACACUGGUACUGAGACACGGACCAGACUCCUACGGGAGGCAGCAGUGAGGAAUAUUGGUCAAUGGGCGAGAGCCUGAACCAGCCAAGUCGCGUGAAGGAAGAAGGAUCUAUGGUUCGUAAACUUCUUUUGCAGGGGAAUAAAGUGGAGGACGUGUCCUCUUUUGUAUGUACCCUGAGAAUAAGGAUCGGCUAACUCCGUGCCAGCAGCCGCGGUAAUACGGAGGAUCCGAGCGUUAUCCGGAUUUAUUGGGUUUAAAGGGUGCGUAGGUGGUUUAAUAAGUCAGCGGUGAAAGUUUGCAGCUUAACUGUAAAAAUGCCGUUGAAACUGUUAGACUUGAGUGUAAAUGAGGUAGGCGGAAUGCGUGGUGUAGCGGUGAAAUGCUUAGAUAUCACGAAGAACUCCGAUUG
rnacentral:rRNA from 1 species